AAGUUUAAGCCUUAUGAGAUACUUAUAAAUCACAGAGUAAGAAUUUUCCCGGUUCAAAUUUCCAGUCAACUCAUGAUACAGAGAAACCAUAGAUUCGAUGGAUGGUGGUGCAUGGCCGUUCUUAGUUGGUGGAGCGAUUUGUCUGGUUAAUUCCGAUAACGAACGAGACUUUAACCUGCUAAAUAGUAGACUGGUCCUCUGUGCUCGUUUAGGGCGCGGCUUCUAUUGCUUCUUUAUGGAGUAGUGUGGUCGUGAUUCGGCGGGUGCGGUGCCAGUUUUUACUUCUUAGAGGGACAAGCGGCACACUUAAGUCGCACGAAAUUGAGCAAUAACAGGUCUGUGAUGCCCUUAGAUGUCCGGAGCCACACGUGCGCUACAAUGAUGGUGCCAGCGAGUCUGGAAACCUGGCCCGAAAGGGUUGCGCAAACUGUUUCAUCACCGUCGUGACUGGGAUCGGGGCUUGCAAUUAUUCCCCGUGAACGAGGAAUUCCUGGUAAGUGCAAGUCAUAAGCUUGCGCUGAUUAC
rnacentral:ncRNA from 1 species